rnacentral:misc_RNA from 1 species
UUGAAUAAACUUGAACAGGUUGUUGCUGGCCCUCUCUGGGCAUGUGCACGCUUGUCCAUCUUUAUCAUUUCUCCAACUUGUGCACUUAUUAUAGACCUUUAGAUUUUGGGACUGCUGUGCUUUUUGUAUCAGUCGGCUUUCCCUUUCAAUUUUUUGAAUGUCUAUGUGAUUUUCACAAUCUCAUAAAAUGUCGAAUGUAUGAAACAAAAAUAUAUAUAUA